rnacentral:rRNA from 1 species
UGGGGAAUAUUGCACAAUGGGCGCAAGCCUGAUGCAGCCAUGCCGCGUGUAUGAAGAAGGCCUUCGGGUUGUAAAGUACUUUCAGCGGGGAGGAAGGGAGUAAAGUUAAUACCUUUGCUCAUUGACGUUACCCGCAGAAGAAGCACCGGCUAACUCCGUGCCAGCAGCCGCGGUUAUACGGAGGGUGCAAGCGUUAAUCGGAAUUACUGGGCGUAAAGCGCACGCAGGCGGUUUGUUAAGUCAGAUGUGAAAUCCCCGGGCUCAACCUGGGAACUGCAUCUGAUACUGGCAAGCUUGAGUCUCGUAGAGGGGGGUAGAAUUCCAGGUGUAGCGGUGAAAUGCGUAGAGAUCUGGAGGAAUACCGGUGGCGAAGGCGGCCCCCUGGACGAAGACUGACGCUCAGGUGCGAAAGCGUGGGGAGCAAACAGG